CUCUGUACUGUACUAUAGGAGUAUAGAGUACAUCCUUUCAACUUGCCGUCUCAAACUCUUUUUUUUAAAAAAAAAACCCACACCUUUUUCACUCUCAGUCGCAGAUUCAAAUGGAGCCCGAGCCCGAACCCGAGCUUGAGCCUGAGCCAGAGCCCGGGCCUGAGUUUAGUUCGAAAGAGGAAGCAUUCUCAUACUACCAAACCUACGCCAAAUCCGUGGGCUUUUCCGCCAUAAUCAAAGCCAGCCGUCGAUCUCGAAUCUCCGGCAACUUCAUUGACGCCAAAUUCGCCUGCACCCGCUACGGCACUCCACCGAACCCUAAAAAACCCAAGCCCAAACGGGCCCGAACAAGCCCCAAAACCGAUUGCAAGGCCUCCAUGCACGUCAAACGAACACCCCACGGUACAUGGAUCAUCUCUUCCUUCAUCAAACACCAUAACCACCAAACUAACUCAAAUAAUAAUGCAAGUCCUUCGAGGAAGCCUAAGAUUAAGAAAACGCUGCAUCAUUUGGUUUUCGCCGAAGGAGACCUUCAAUUUCUGCUAGAUACUUUCAUGUCUAUGCAAAACGAAAACCCUAAUUUCUUUUACGCCGUUGAUUUUAAUGAGGAGCAGCGUUUGAGAACCGUUUUCUGGGUGGAUGCUAAAGCCAGGCUUGAUUACAGACACUUUAGUGAUGUGGUGCUUUUGGACACCACGCAUGUUAAAAAUGAGUGCAAAUUGCCCUUUGUUCCGUUUGUUGGUGUUAACCACCAUUUUCAGGUUUUUUUGCUUGGGUUGGCGUUUGUGUCUGACGAGUCCGAAUCGACGUUUUCGUGGCUGAUGAGGAGUUGGUUGAGAGCAAUGGGAGGAUGUGCUCCUAAGCUGAUGCUCACUGACUGCGACGAAGCGCUGAAGAAAGCUGUUGCUGAAGUGGCUCCUGAGUCUUGGCAUUGUUUUUGUCUGUGGCACGUGUUGAGUAAGGUUCCAGAGAAGCUCGGUCGCGUGAUGCAACGGCAUGGUGGGGAGUUUGUGACUAGGUUUAACGAGUGUGUUUUGAGGUCUAGGACAAAGGAGCAGUUUGAGAAGAGGUGGGGGAAAAUGGUUGGGAGGUUUGAGUUAGGUGAUGAGAGUUGGUUGUGGGAUAUUUAUGAGGAUCGCGAACGGUGGGUACCAGCCUUUAUGAAAGGCAGGGUUUUAGCAGGGUUGUCUACCGUGCAGAGAUCAGAGGCUAUGAACUGUUUGUUUGACAAAUAUGUGCAGAGGAAAACUACUUUGAAAGAGUUUGUGGAGCAAUACAGAGUGGUAUUGCAGGAUAAGUGUGAGGAGGAAGCGAAAGCAGAUUUUGUAACGUUGCAUAGACAGCCAGCGUUGAAGUCCCCAUCGCCGUUUGGGAAACAAAUGGUGGAGUUAUACACGAAUGAGGUGUUUAAGAAGUUCCAGAGUGAGGUUUUGGGAGCUGUUGCUUGUCAUCCAAGAAAAGAAAGUGAAGAUGGACCAACAAAAGUGUUUAGGGUUCAGGAUUUUGAAGACAAUGAAGAUUUUGUUGUCACCUGGAAUGAAUCGACCUUGGAAGUGUUGUGUGCCUGUUAUUCGUUUGAAUUCAAUGGCUUUCUCUGCAGGCAUGUAAUGAUUGUGCUACAGAUUUCUGCUGUACAUAGCAUCCCACCUCGGUAUAUAUUGAAACGCUGGACGAAAGAUGCCAAGUGUAGACAAACAGCAGGAGAUUUGUCUAUGUCAGAUGCAGUUGUCUCUGACUCUAGGGCUAAGCGCUAUAAUAAUUUAUGUCAGCAAGCCUUUCAAUUGGGUGAUGUAGGGUCUUUAUCACAAGAGAGUUACAUUGCUGCUAUAAAUGCAUUGGAAGCCGCAUUGAGAAAGUGUAAGAGCCUGAAUGAUUCAAUUCAGAGUGUCAGAGAACCGAACCUGCCAUGUUCUGGUUCUCAAGAAGGGAUUCUGAUCAGUAACAGUGUUGGUCAUAGCAACAAAAGGGAUAGUACUCUUGGAAAAAGGAAGGUAUGCCCAGAACCAGAGACAGUUGCUAUUGGAGUAAAUUCUAACUGGCAGCAAGUGGAAAACUCCAAUACACAAGCAGCUGGUCUUGAUUGUUCGUAUGAAUCACAACAGAGCAUUCAAGAGAUGGGUCAGCUGAACUCGAGCUCAGAACCCGGAUGGUUAUUUUUCUUCUGAACAAAUUGAUUCAGGAAUGGUGACUAAUCAGAGGUUGUCUGUUGGGAUGACACCCAAAACACUUAGGCUGCCCAAACCCGGCGAGAUGUCCAUGGAUCACCUCUGGGUGCUGACAAGGAAGCCAUGCAUGAAUCAGAGGAAGGUCGAAUGCCAUCUAAAUCAGUUGUCCUCCAAGAACAAGCUACACAAGUCUUUCUGUCAUCACUCUAGAUAUGGGCUACUUGAAAAUUAAUGGCCCCUUAUUAUUAAUAUUUCAGUUAGAAAUGCAGACUUUCAGUGUUGCCUUUGUCUUUGAUUUCUGGAUUUCACAAAAUUUGGAAUGGGAUGCAGCUGGAAGAGUCCUACAGCCUACAGGGUUGUCUGACUACUGUAGUACAUUUGUCUAUGUAUGGCUGAUUUGCAUUAGGAGAACGAUAAGGUUGUAAAAACUCUUUGCACUGUAAUUGUAUAAUGAUAAUCAAGCUGUAAGUUUUAAAUUUGGCUUGUUGGAG